ACUCACUCCACUAGAUACAACCACUCGGUCCAUACGAGUCACGUGAUUGCCCUUAUAAGCAACCACUCACUCCACUAGAUACAACCACUCGGUCCAUACGAGUCACGUGAUUGCACCUAAAAAGCAACCACUCACUCCGCUAGAUACAACCACUCGGUCCAUACGAGUCACGUGAUUGCCCUUAUAAGCAACCACUCACUCCACUAGAUACAACCACUCGGUCCAUACGAGUCACGUGAUUGCACCUAAAAAGCAACCACU